AGUGAACGCUGGCGGUAGGCCUAACACAUGCAAGUCGAACGGCAGCACAGUAAGAGCUUGCUCUUACGGGUGGCGAGUGGCGGACGGGUGAGGAAUAUAUCGGAAUCUACUUUUUCGUGGGGGAUAACGUAGGGAAACUUACACUAAUACCGCAUACGACCUACGGGUGAAAGCAGGGGAUCUUCGGACCUUGCGCGAUUGAAUGAGCCGAUGUCGGAUUAGCUAGUUGGCGGGGUAAAGGCCCACCAAGGCGACGAUCCGUAGCUGGUCUGAGAGGAUGAUCAGCCACACUGGAACUGAGACACGGUCCAGACUCCUACGGGAGGCAGCAGUGGGGAAUAUUGGACAAUGGGCGCAAGCCUGAUCCAGCCAUACCGCGUGGGUGAAGAAGGCCUUCGGGUUGUAAAGCCCUUUUGUUGGGAAAGAAAAGCAGCAGGUUAAUACCCCGCUGUUCUGACGGUACCCAAAGAAUAAGCACCGGCUAACUUCGUG
rnacentral:rRNA from 1 species